rnacentral:rRNA from 1 species
UACGUAGGAGACGAGCGUUGUCCGGAGUUACUGGGCGUAAAGGGUGCGCAGGUGGUUUGUGCGCGUGGGGGGGUGAAAUCGCCCGGCUUAACUGGGCGGGGGCCUUCCAGACGGCGUGACUUGAGCGCGGAGGGGGGGGACGUGAAUUCCGGUGGAGCGGUGAAAUGCGUAGAGAUCGGAAAGAACACCAACGGCGAAAGCACUCUGCUGGGCCGACACUGACACUGAGAGACGAAAGCUAGGGGAGCGAAUGGG